GCCCUAUAUAAGAUGCAUCAACGCAAGAUAGUUGAACAUCUCCCUGUAGGGUUUAGUUUACCAGAAGCUUUGACAACAAGUCUUAUUGUGUGGCUACGGUCGAAAUGGGGUGAGUCAGAGUGGAAUAGGUUAACCGUAAGACCUUGAGUUGGAAAACUCUAAAAUUGAGCUAGGAGUACGGAUUUCGUAUUUUCUAGUUACGGUUCG
rnacentral:ncRNA from 1 species